CAGUCGCCGCGGGAAUACGGAGGGGGCUAGCGUUGUUCGGAAUUACUGGGCGUAAAGCGCACGUGGGCGGCUUGGUAAGUUAGAGGUGAAAGCCUGGAGCUCAACUCCAGAAUUGCCUUUAAGACUGCCGAGCUAGCAGGUGAGAGAGGUAAGUGGAAUUCCGAGUGUAGAGGUGAAAUUCGUAGAUAUUCGGAAGAACACCAGUGGCGAAGGCGGCUUACUGGCUCAUACUGGACGCUGAGGUGCGAAAGCGUGGGGAGCAAACAGGAUUAGAUACCCCUGUAGUCCCUGUCUCUUAUAC
rnacentral:rRNA from 1 species